CGUGGUGUUAGAGGAAGGUCCUCCUCAGUGACGUGGUGAUACAGAGGGAGGUCCUCCUCAGUGACGUGGUGUUAGAGGGAGGUCCUCCUCAGUGACAUGGUGUUAGAGAGGGAGGUCCUCCUCAGUGACGUGAUGUUAGAGAGGGAGGUCCUCCUCAGUGAUGUGGUGUUAGAGAGGGAGGUCCUCCUCAGUGACGUGGUGUUAGAGGGAGGUCCUCCUCAGUGACGUGGUGAUAGAGAGGGAGGUCCUCCUCAGUGACGUGGUGUUAGAGGGAGGUCCUCCUCAGUGACGUGGUGUUAGAGGGAGGUCCUCCUCAGUGACGUGGUGUUAGAGGGAGGUCCUCCUCAGUGACGUGGUGUUAGAGGGAGGUCCUCCUCAGUGAUGUGGUGUUAGAGGGAGGUCCUCCUCAGUGACGUGGUGUUAGAGGGAGGUCCUCCUCAGUGAUGUGGUGUUAGAGAGGGAGGUCCUCCUCAGUGAUGUGGUGUUAGAGAGGGAGGUCCUCCUCAGUGACGUGGUGUUAGAGGGAGGUCCUCCUCAGUGACGUGGUGUUAGAGGGAGGUCCUCCUCAGUGAUGUGGUGUUAGAGGGAGGUCCUCCUCAGUGAUGUGGUGUUAGAGGGAGGUCCUCCUCAGUGAUGUGGUGUUAGAGAGGGAGGUCCUCCUCAGUGAUGUGGUGUUAGAGAGGGAGGUCCUUUCUAACUACAGUAGAAAUAGUAGAAUGUCUU